GGAAAAUUAGUCUGUACAUGGGAACACAGAGACUUAAUAUCACGUCCAAAUUUAUCUGUGAUUUAUGCACAUGUACGAGACCAAACAUGUGUGUCUACAUACCUACCCAGGAGGACGCCACCUCCAGUAAAUUCACCUAUUUCAAUCACAUCAUAUUAUUCAGCUGAAGACAGAGAUGAAACAUUUGUACAAGAUGGUUCCAUGUGUGGUCCUGAUAUGGUUUGCAACAAUUUUAACCAUUGCCAUUGUGAAAAGGGAUAUAAUCCUCCUUACUGCCAACCAAAGCAAGGAGCAUUUGGAAGUAUUGAUGAUGGACACUUAGUACCACCAACUGAGAGAAGUUACAUGGAGGAGGGAAGAUAGGCCACUUUUCAAAAACAACGGUUUCAACUCAUUUUCUACAUUUCUCUACCUGUGCUUCUUAUUACUACUGCCAUUUUAAUAAAACAGAAAAAAUUGAGAGAGCUAUGCUAUAGAGGGGAAAAUGAAAGUGAGAGCUCUGUGUCAGAAGAAAGCAGCAGUAACAGCAAGUCAUCCCUCAGUGAAAGCACCAGUCUCUAA
ensembl:lncRNA novel transcript